AGCGGGUCGGUUUGGCCGAGCCGGCUCCCGACGGUGAACAGACAGCGCGUGGGGCUGGGUUAGGGGCUACCGGCCCCCAGUGCAGGGCCUGGCCCUCUCCCUGGCCGUCCCGCGCUCCUUACUCAGCGGCUCCCACCCAGGGCCCUGUGCUGAGCGGUGCGGCUUGGAUAUUAGAUCCCCAGAGAUUACAACAAGGGAGCUAACCAACGCCUGGGCAGGUGUCGAACAACCAUCAACAGCCAUUGUCCAGCAGGGAGGUACAAUGAAAUCACUCACUUGCACAAGAUGACGCCAGGGGAGUUGCUCUACCUUGCCUGGUGACUCAGCAGCGCCCACCAGACAUGCCUGGACUUAUGUUCUCUAAGCAUAUGGAACAAGGGUAUAAAACCGAACACAGUGUGGCCCCAUGCUUGGCCUUUUCUCCUCCCCGCACCUACACUGCAAGUGACAAGAUUGCUCAGAAGACUAAAGACACCAGCAGAGGAGACUGGCCCAGGUUUCAAGGGUGAAACCUGUGCCUUAUGAAAUGUAACAUCCAGUGGAGUGAGAGAACUGCUUGAUCUAAAUACUGCCUAGUGUCUUACAGGUUUAGGAUUUAGAUUGUGUGCUGAUUUUGUUUUCUUUGGUAACGAAUUCUGACUUUUUGCCUGCCACUUAGAUUUUAAGCGAUUAUAUCUUUUGUAAUCAAUAAACUUGUUUUACUGUUUAUCUUUA